rnacentral:tRNA from 1 species
AAUAGGGUGGCCGAGUUUAUAGGCUAUAGACUGUAAAUCUUUAUACGAAUAAUAUUCCCCUUUUA